AUAGUGAUGCCUAAGCAUCAAUUCCCUCUUCGAAAGGCUACACAACUAUAAAUGAUCCUUAGGCAUCCAUUCUUGUUUAUUAGUUCUUUGUAUAAAUACUUGUUUGAUUGAUCCUCUUUUCUGCUGUAGAUAAAACUGAAUCACCGAAAGUUGCUAGAUGGAAUGUUGGAAAUUUGUGGGGUUCCACCAGAAAAGUUCAGAACAAUAUGCUCUAGCAUUGAUAAUCUAAACAAGCAAUCGCUUGAGACGAUCAUAAAGGAAUCGGGACAUACGUAUAUCUUGAAGCCACAUGUGCCUAUAGUAUCCGGGUGUUAAGAUUUUUGCAGUUCUGUGUCCUGGUGAUGCUACUGAAAACGGAAAGCUUCUGCAGUGCCUCAGUUCAGGACAUUAUCGCACGAUUCAAGGAAAAAAGAGAUGAGAAGGGAUCAUGGAAUUGGUCUGACUUUCCUCCCAAAGUGGCAGUACAACAGAAUGAUACUCAUCCUACUCUUGCUAUUCCAGAACUGAUGCGUCUGCUAAUGGACGUAAAAGGACUUGGCUGGGACGAAGCAUGGUGAUCCUAUUGAAAACGGAAAGCUUUUGAGGUUUAGGCCAAGAUCCUCCGCUGCUCUGCCAGAUGAUGCACUGGAUCCAAAUGAAGAUAGUGAAGGAAACAACCUCAAGAUGAGGUUGAUGCUUAUAGCGAGGACGAGGAAAAAGAAACAAGGAGCACGAAGGUCAGUAUCGAAAUGAUAAGGAAUUAGGGGAGCAUAAUGAAGUAGAAGAAGAUGAAGAAUAAAUGAAAGACUGACAUUACUAGAUAUGG